UACAGGGGGUGCAAACGUUAAUCGGAAUUACUGGGCGUAAAGCGUGCGUAGUCGGUUAUUUAAGUCGGAUGUGAAAUCCCCGGGCUCAACCUGGGAACUGCGCUUGUGACUGGCAGGCUAGAGUACGGCAGAGGGGGGUGGAAUUCCACGUGUAGCAGUGAAAUGCGUAGAGAUGUGGAGGAACACCAAUGGCGAAGGCAGCCCCCUGGGUCGAUACUGACGCUCAUGCACGAAAGCGUGGGUAGCAAACAGG
rnacentral:rRNA from 1 species